GCUGGGUGUGGUGGUGAAUGCCUGUAAUCCCAGCAGCUCAGGAGGCUGAGGCAGGAGGAUCAGAGUUCAAAGCCAGCCUCAGCAUAUUUUAACAAGUCACUAAGCACUCAAUGAGACCCUGUCUCUA
rnacentral:sRNA from 1 species